rnacentral:misc_RNA from 1 species
ACGAUGUAAGACAACAUUCCUCCCCAAUGGACCGUUUAUCUUAUUGGUGGUCACUGGUGACCACCGUGGCGCUUUGGUAACAGUUGAUAGCGACAUAUUGUAACAAGGUUUAUUUCAACAAACCAUUCGCAUUCGUUAUUUCGUCGCAAGCAAAACGUGCAGAAUAUAUCGUUGAAACGUGUAGAAGAUAUUAGUAAACGGUAUUUGCUCAUUCUAUAUAUAAUAGUAAGAUUAUCCCUCAAAGAUAUGGAUGCAAACACAGUGCACCGUUAGAUGCAAGAUUUGUUCUCAUUUUUUUUUUUAUUGAUGUUCUAAUAAAAAUGUUUAAUUGUUCAAUGGGGCACUUUUUAUUUCAAAGUAUCUUCUAUUUAUCGGUUAUAUUCAAAA